CAGCCGCCACGGUAAUACGGAGGGGGCUAGCGUUGUUCGGAAUUACUGGGCGUAAAGCGCGCGUAGGCGGCUUGGUAAGUUAGAGGUGAAAGCCUGGGGCUCAACCCCAGAAUUGCCUUUAAGACUGCCGAGCUAGUAGGUGAGAGAGGUAAGUGGAAUUCCGAGUGUAGAGGUGAUAUUCGUAGAUAUUCGGAAGAACACCAGUGGCGAAGGCGGCUUACUGGCUCAUUCUAGACGCUGAGGUGCGAAAGCGUGGGGAGCAAACAGGAUUAGAUACCCGCGUAGUCCCUGUCUCUUAUAC
rnacentral:rRNA from 1 species